rnacentral:rRNA from 1 species
UACGAACUGUGCAAACGUUAUUCGGAAUCACUGGGCUUAAAGGGUGCGUAGGCGGCUGUCUAAGCAGGGUGUGAAAGCCCCCGGCUCAACCGGGGAAUUGCGUUCUGAACUGGACGGCUGGAGUGGGAUAGAGGUGUGUGGAACUUCCGGUGGAGCGGUGAAAUGUGUUGAUAUCGGAAGGAACGCCGGUGGCGAAAGCGACACACUGGGUCUCAACUGACGCUGAGGCACGAAAGCCAGGGGAGCGAACGGG